rnacentral:rRNA from 1 species
UACGUAGGGUGCGAGCGUUAAUCGGAAUUAUUGGGCGUAAAGCGCGCGCAGGCGGUCCUUUAAGUCUGAUGUGAAAGCCCACGGCUCAACCGUGGAGGGUCAUUGGAAACUGGGGGACUUGAGUGCAGGAGAGAAGAGUGGGAUUCCACGUGUGGCGGUGAAAUGCGUAGAGAUGUGGAGGAACACCCGUGGCGAAGGCGGCUCUCUGGGACGGUACUGACGCUGAGACGCGAAAGCGUGGGGAGCGAACAGG